AAACUUACCUGGCGACGGGUUAAGGGUGAUCAAGAAUGCUCUGACCCCGGGUGGAGGCUCACCAUUGCAAAUCGGACCCUAAUCGGGUGCUCUCGGACGUGUAGUUUUCGUCAGUGAGGAGGCCUCACGGUCCUUCCUUU
rnacentral:snRNA from 15 species